UUCUAGCUCCUCUUCUCAUUAGUGAUGUAAUUCCCUCAGGAAUCUCCUCAUAAAGAAAGACAUCUGUUUCCAUUUUCUUCUUAGAGGAACAGGAUCUCUAUACAUCAUUGAAUAGAUUAGUGUCAUGAGUGUUAGCACUUUCCAUGAAGCACAAUCCCAAAGACCAUGAAAAAUUGAGAUCCGCAGAGGAGAGGAUGGAAAGUGUUUCCCCCACACCACAGGGUGUUUUACUGCUGCUGCUGCUGUUUAAGGCUACUCUACCACUUGCAAGCUGCUGUUUCUGACCUUCUGGAGUUUGGAGGAAGGAAGAAAAGAAAAAGAAGAAAAGAAAGUUUUUAUUUUACUGUUGCAUCUUUUCAACAAAGUUGACUCUCUCCCUACAAAGGAAAGUUUGUAUCAGCUACUGAGAAGACUUGGACUGGAACUUACUUCACCAGAUCUCAUGGUUCUUGGGCCUUCAGACUCAGGUUGGAACUAUGCUAUCAGCUUUCCUGGAUCUCCAGCUUGCUGACUACACAAUCUAGGACUUCUCAGCCUUUGUAAUUGUGAGGAACAAAUUGUUCUACAGAAAAUGAAGGAAACUCCAAAUGUUCAAGAGACUGGGGAUGAUAUAUGAAAGCUUUCACCAUUAGGAUAAAAAAGAGCAAGAAUAGCUCACAUACCAUGUGAACCACUUUUGGGAAUCAGAUGUGUACAUUCCAAAGUAAAAUGACUUCAGUGUAUAUAUACAAGGAUGAUAAAUGUCCUGCUGAGAACAGCGGCAAAACAACAAGAAGAACCACCGUAAAGCUCCUGCACAUACUUAUAUACUGAAUAGGACCAUGAAAAAGUGCUUAAGCUCAAACAGAAUGUUAAGAUAGAACAAAAUUCCAUUUUGUGGGAGACUAUCCACACAGUCACAAUGUGGGCUGGACUUAUCUAAUGAUCUGGAGCUCUGAGGAAUACUUCUAUGAUUAUGUGAAGAAGCCUGGGCUAGCCUGCUGAAGGAUGAAGGACCAUGUAGAAAGCAGCCUCAGCUAUUCCAGUUGAGUCACCAGACGUGUGAAUGAGAUGAUCCUAUACAUCAGCCUCAGCUUAGUUGCCUUUGCCAGAAUUUCUCAACCAAACCUAAGUAUUAUGAAAAGUAAUAAUUAUUUGUUAAAUUUGGCCAAUACAUAGUACAUCUUGGGGUGGAUUGUUACCAGUUAGCCAACACUAAGUGGUAUACCAUGUCAUGCUAUACUUAUUUCUUUUCCUUAGGAAAUUGACAAAGUGUUUUACUGAUGUUAACUUGGAAUGCAUUUAAAGACAAAAAAAGGAAAACCUUAAUCCAACAUUGACAUUUCAUUCCUGCAUCUUUAAUGGUUUGAUCAGAAUAAUCAGUGACUCAUAAUUAUAAUGGAUGCAUAAGUGGGCACAUUUUGAUAUUAAAAAAGUGAGGUAAUAUACACAUUACUAAAUAUGAUAAUGCUAGUGAUUUUCCUACUCAACUUAUGUUUAAGGACAUGUCACCAAUAGUGGUAUUCAACUUCAUUUGAAAUUCAAAACAUUAAAGUUAAUUUUUAAACAUUUUUAUUGAGUUGAAGCUAGAGAGUUGAAGAAAAAAUAAGAAAAUUAAGAUUUCACUUCAUAUACAUGUAAUGGAUGUAUUUUGUGGUAAUGCAGUUUUAGUGUUUAGACCACUAUGAAACUAGUAAGAUAGUGGUUUUAAGUGUUGAUCUAGUUAUUUUGAACCUAUAGCUUUGAAAAUGCAUGAAGCUCAUUUUAACAUAAAAUAUAUGGUUUUAAGAUGAAUUCUUCCUCAUAUUGCAUUCUUUCCUCCCUCUACCAGUUUCCUCUCUAUAGGUAUUUGUAUAUAUAUUGACUCUUAGACAAAUUGAGUAGAUAUUAUAUCUGAGUCAACAAAUGUGUAUAUAGACACAUGAACACUAAGAAAGGGCAUUAACAUUUCUAAAAUACGUCAGAUGUACUGACAUAA
rnacentral:lncRNA from 1 species